rnacentral:rRNA from 1 species
UACGGGGGGAGCAAGCGUUGUUCGGAUUUACUGGGCGUAAAGGGCGCGUAGGCGGCGCAACAAGUCACUUGUGAAAUCUCCGGGCUUAACCCGGAGCGGUCAAGUGAUACUGUCGUGCUAGAGUGCGGAAGGGGCUACUGGAAUUCUCGGUGUAGCGGUGAAAUGCGCAGAUAUCAGGAGGAACACCGGUGGCGAAGGCGGGGUCUCUGGGCCGUAACUGACGCUGGAGGAGCG